GUGCGAUGUGGGGACGGAGAAGGUUAGCUCAGCCAACUGUUGGAUAUGUUGGUUCAAGCCUGUAGUCGUGCCUGGUAGGAAAAUCCGCCGGGCUUAGAUGAGGGGUGAUAACGAGGCUGCUUGCAGCCGAAGUGAGUGAUACCCUGCUUCCAGGAAAAGCCACUAAGCUUCAGCUACACACGACCGUACCGCAAACCGACACUGGUGCGCGAGAUGAGUAUUCUAAGGCGCUUGAGAGAACUCAGGAGAAGGAACUCGGCAAAUUGACACCGUAACUUCGGAAGAAGGUGUGCCCUUAGUAGGUGAAGUCCCUCGCGGAUGGAGCCCAAUGGGGUUGCAAAAAAUCGGUGGCUGCGACUGUUUAUUAAAAACACAGCACUCUGCAAACACGAAAGUGGACGUAUAGGGUGUGACGCCUGCCCGGUGCUGGAAGAUUAAAUGAUGGGGUGCAAGCUCUUGAUUGAAGUCCCAGUAAACGGCGGCCGUAACUAUAACGGUCCUAAGGUAGCGAAAUUCCUUGUCGGGUAAGUUCCGACCUGCACGAAUGGCGUAACGAUGGCCACACUGUCUCCUCCUGAGACUCAGCGAAGUUGAAAUGUUUGUGAUGAUGCAAUCUCCCCGCGGAAAGACGGAAAGACCCCAUGAACCUUUACUGUAGCUUUGUAUUGGACUUUGAACAGAUCUGUGUAGGAUAGGUGGGAGGCUUUGAAGUAGGGUCGCUAGAUCUUAUGGAGCCAACGUUGAAAUACCACCCUGGUGUGUUUGAGGUUCUAACCUUGGUCCAUUAUCUGGAUCGGGGACAGUGCAUGGUAGGCAGUUUGACUGGGGCGGUCUCCUCCCAAAGCGUAACGGAGGAGUUCGAAGGUACGCUAGUUACGGUCGGACAUCGUGACGAUAGUGCAAUGGCAUAAGCGUGCUUAACUGCGAGACUGACAAGUCGAGCAGAUGCGAAAGCAGGACAUAGUGAUCCGGUGGUUCUGUAUGGAAGGGCCAUCGCUCAACGGAUAAAAGGUACUCUGGGGAUAACAGGCUGAUACCGCCCAAGAGUUCAUAUCGACGGCGGUGUUUGGCACCUCGAUGUCGGCUCAUCUCAUCCUGGGGCUGUAGCCGGUCCCAAGGGUAUGGCUGUUCGCCAUUUAAAGAGGUACGUGAGCUGGGUUUAAAACGUCGUGAGACAGUUUGGUCCCUAUCUUCCGUGGGCGCUGCAGAUUUGAGGAAGCCUGCUCCUAGUACGAGAGGACCGGAGUGGACACACCUCUGGUGUACCGGUUGUCACGCCAGUGGCAUUGCCGGGUAGCUAAGUGUGGAAGAGAUAACCGCUGAAAGCAUCUAAGCGGGAAACUCGUUUCAAGAUGAGAUCUGCCGGGGCCUUGAGCCCCCUAAAGAGUCGUUCAAGACCAGGACGUUGAUAGGUCAGGUGUGGAAGCGCAGCAAUGCGUUAAGCUAACUGAUACUAAUUGCUCGUGCGGCUUGACCCU
rnacentral:rRNA from 1 species